rnacentral:sRNA from 2 species
CGUCACCGACCCGACCGCCUGCCCAUUGCCAGGCCAUGGCACCAACCCGAUUGCCUCCGGCUCGCCGAACGU